rnacentral:rRNA from 1 species
AGCGUGGGGAGCGAACAGGAUUAGAUACCCUGGUAGUCCACGCCGUAAACGAUGAGUGCUAAGUGUUAGGGGGUUUCCGCCCCUUAGUGCUGCAGCUAACGCAUUAAGCACUCCGCCUGGGGAGUACGGUCGCAAGACUGAAACUCAAAGGAAUUGACGGGGGCCCGCACAAGCGGGGGAGCAUGUGGUUUAAUUCGAAGCAACGCGAAGAACCUUACCAGGUCUUGACAUCCUCUGACAAUCCUAGAGAUAGGACGUCCCCUUCGGGGGCAGAGUGACAGGUGGUGCAUGGUUGUCGUCAGC